rnacentral:rRNA from 1 species
AUAACUUUAAGCAAUGGAUCUCUUGGCUCUCGCAUCGAUGAAGAGCGUAGCAAAUCGCGAUAAUUAAUGCGAUCUGCAUUCUGCGAAUCAUCGAGUUCUUGAACGCACCUUGCACCCUUUGGCUUGUCCUUGGGGUAUGCUUGUUUCAGUACAACUACAAACCCACAAAUGUCAUUCCUUGAUUGAAUUGACCAUUGUGAUUGGGAUGUCAAAGGCGAAACACCUGAUUCACCUUUCAUCCUGAAAAUGAAUCCAUCGGAUACAUUUCAACAUUGGUUUGUUUCCUUUGCAUUAAAUUUUCUUGAUUGAAAAGCAUUGGGGAAUUUGCCAAUACACAAUAUCAAACUUGUUGUCUGAAAUCAAGUAGGAUUACCCGCUGAACUUAAGCAUAUUAAUAAGCGGAGGAAAAGGAAAUAACCAUGAUUGCCUUAGUAACGGCGAGUGAAGAGGCAAAAGCUCAAGUUUGGAAGCUCAGUGGUUUAACCACUGCGCAUUGUAAACUGAAAACAGGAUCAAUCAGGUACACCGGGUGAUAAGUUCCUUGGAAUAGGACAUCAUGGAGGGUGAGAAUCCCGUCUUUGACCCGAGUCUAGUAUCUUUUGUAUUGGCCUGUUCAAGAGUCAGGUUGUUUGGGAAUGCAGCCUAAAGCUGGAGGUAAAUCCCUCCUGAAGCUAAAUAAUGGCGAGAGACCGAUAGCGAACGAGUACCGUGAGGGAAAGAUGAAAAAGAACUCUGAAGAGAGAGUUAAAUAGUACGUGAAAUUGCUUAAAGGGAAGCAUAUAAAGCUAGGAUGCGAUCGUUUCCUUCAGGUUGGGCUUUUUGGCUUGACUUUUCCGACUGUUACAUGGAGGAUAAUCCAAGACAACAAGAAUUGGAGGAGGAGAAUAAGCUGUUGGGGAAGGUAAUCCUUCGGGAUGUUUAUAGACCUAGCAGUUCGUGCUCUUCUUUCGAUUGAGGUACGCUUUUUUUUUAAAAAGGUUGUUGUCUGAAUAGCUUUAUAUGGCCCGUCUUGAAACACGGACCAAGGAGUCCAAUUGAUGUGCGAGUAUUUGGGAGGUAAACCCAUAUGCGCAAUGAAAGUAACUCUACCUAUGAGAGGGUCUUAAUGACCUUUGCAAUAGGCUCGGGCAGGGAUGUUCUGUACUGAACUGAACUGACUCAGACGAAGCACAUUGAAUGGGACCCGAAAGAUGGUGAACUAUGCUUGGAUAGGGUGAAGCCAAAGGAGACUUUGGUGGAGGCUCGUAGCGAUUCUGACGUGCAAAUCGAUCGUCGAAUCUGAGUAUAGGGGCGAAAGACCAAUCGAACCAUCUAAUAGCUGGUUCCUGCCGAAGUUUCCCUCAGGAUAGCAGAAGUAAACGAGGCAUUUUUAUGGGGUAAUGCGAACGAUUGAAGGCAUCGGUGGCUGUAUCGGCUUAACUUCUCUCAGUGCUGAACCUGUAAGAUGACAGUCUUAUGAUGAAAGUCUGUAUAUCGAAUGCUGUACUUCUAGUGGGCCGGUUUUGGUAAACAGAACUGGCGAUGCGGGAUGAACCGAACGCAAGGUUAAGGCGCCGGAAUCCACGCUCAUUGAUACCAACAAAAGGUGUAGAUUCAUCUUGACAGCAGGGCGGUGGCCAUAGAAGUUGGAACCCGCUAAGGAGUGUGUAAUAACUCACCUGCCGAAUGAACCAGCCCUGAAAAUGGAUGGCGCUUAAGCGUGGUGCCUAUACCUUGCCAUUGGGGUGUAUUGGAAGCUCCAAUGAGUAGGCAGGCGUGGAGGUUCUGUUGUAAAGCUUUGGGUGUGAACCUGAGUGGAACAGCCUCUAGUGCAGAUCUUGGUGGUAGUAGCAAAUAUUCAAGUGAGAACCUUGAAGACUGAAGUGGAGAAGGGUUCCUGGGGGAACAGCCGUUGGCCCAGGGUGAAUCGAUCCUAAGAGAUAGGGAAGUUCCGUUUUACUCAAGUGUGUCAUUUUUUUGAUGCCUCCUAUCGAAAGGGAAUCAGGUUAAUAUUCCUGAACCAGAACAUGGAUGCUUUUUGACGGCAACGUAAAUGAACUUCAAUACGUUGGGUCGAAUCCCGAAAAGAGUUUCCUCUUCUAUCUAACGGAUUUAUUUUUGCUUGAUCAUGAACAGCUGUUUAUCAGGAGCAAUGAUUAAGCAUCCGGAAGAGCACAGUAUCUUUUUGCUGUGUCCGGUGCAUUCGAUACAAUCCUUGAAGAUUCAAGGGAACUUUGAGCUUCUGCUCAGUUUCAUAUCUGGUCGUACCCAUAACCGCAGCAGGUCUCCAAGGUGAGAAGCCUCUAGUUGAUGGAAGAAGGUAGAUAAGGGAAGUCGGCCAAAUAGAUCCGUAACUUCGGGAUAAGAAUCGGCUUCAAUGAUUGAGCUGGCUUGGUGUAGAAUCCUAGAGCUCGGGAUCGCAGCGCAAUCUGGACAGGCCAGCAAUUAACAAUCAAAUUGGAACUGGUACGGACAAGGGGAAUCCGACUGUCUAAUCAAAACAUAGCAUUGCGAUAGCCAGAAAGUGGUGUUGACGCAAUAUGAUUUCUGCCCGGUGCUCUGAAUGUCAAAGUGAAGAAAUUCAACCAAGCGCGGGUAAACGGCGGGAGUAACUAUGACUUCCUUAAGGUGGCCAGUCCCCGUCAUCUAGCUAAUGACGUGGUGAAUGGAUUGAAUGAGAUUCCCACUGUCCCUAUCUACCAUCCAGCGAAACCACAGCCAAGGAAAGGUCUUGGCAUAUUCAGCAGGGAAAGAAGACCCUGUCGAGCUUGACUCUAGUCUGACAUUGUGAAGAGACAUAGAGGGUGUAGAAUAUGAGGGAGACCUCGGUCGCCAGUGAAAUACCUCAACUUCUAUGGUCUCUUCACUUAGGUUAUCAAGUGGGGCUUUUUGGAUUCGCGUCCAACAUAUCUUAGCUUUAAGCCUUGUUUGCAAGGUGACCCAAGCAACUGACAUUUUCAGGUGGGGAGUUUGGCUGGGGCGGCACACCUGUUAAACAAUAACACAGAUGUUCUAAGGGGGGCUCAACGAGAACAGGACUCUCGUGUAGAGCAAAAGGGCAAAAGCCUCCUUAAUUCUGGAUUUUCAGCGCGAAUACGAACCCUGAAAGGGUGGCCUAUCGAUCCUUUAUGUCCUCAGGAUUUGAGGCUAAAGGUGCCAGAAAAGUUACGGCAGGGAACAACUGGCUUGUGGCAGCCGAACGGAUAUAGUGAUGCUGCUUUUUUGAUUCUUCGAUGCCGGCUCUUCCUAUCAUACUGAAGCACGAUUCAGUAAGCGUUGGAUUGUUCACCCACUAACGGGGAACGUGAGCUGGGUUUAGACCGUCAUGAGAGAGGUCAGUUUUACCCUACUGAAGACUGUAGCUUGUCGUGACAGUAAUUGAAGUCAGUACGAGAGGAACCCUUCAUUCAGAUAAUUGGUUCAUGCGGCUGGUUGAAAGGCCAAUGCCGCGAAGCUACCAUCUGCUGGAUAACAGCUGAACGCCUCCAAGCUGGAAUCCAUACUGGUUGAUGCGACAAUUUGGCCUUCUUUCUGGCAUAGAAAGUAACAACAAGGGUGCUUCGACUCGGCACACCUCAAAACUACAUUUUGGGAGUUGCUUGCCUCUGUUCAUGGAAGUAUGGACUGAUGACACCAGCUUUUGAUUACAAUGAAUCCUGCGAAGGCAGUAUCCGCGACCAGACGAGUCGCUUUCAGACAGUGUAUUGUAAGCAUUAAAGUGGUCUUUGUUAUCACGAUGUGCUAAGAUUCAGCCCUUGUCUAUUGAUUUUG